GUGGACAUGUCGAAGUGGUUGUCGGGGCAUGACUAGAAAUCAUGUGGGUUUUUCUUGUGCAAGUUUGAAUCCUGCCAUCCACG
rnacentral:tRNA from 1 species